UACGUAGGGUGCAAGCGUUAAUCGGAAUUACUGGGCGUAAAGCGUGCGCAGGCGGUGAUGUAAGACAGGUGUGAAAUCCCCGGGCUUAACCUGGGAACUGCAUUUGUGACUGCAUCGCUGGAGUGCGGCAGAGGGGGAUGGAAUUCCGCGUGUAGCAGUGAAAUGCGUAGAUAUGCGGAGGAACACCGAUGGCGUAGGCAAUCCCCUGGGCCUGCACUGACGCUCAUGCACGAAAGCGUGGGGAGCAAACAGG
rnacentral:rRNA from 1 species